AUUGAACGCUGGCGGCAUGCCUUACACAUGCAAGUCGAACGGCAGCACGGGUGCUUGCACCUGGUGGCGAGUGGCGAACGGGUGAGUAAUACAUCGGAACAUGUCCUGUAGUGGGGGAUAGCCCGGCGAAAGCCGGAUUAAUACCGCAUACGAUCUACGGAUGAAAGCGGGGGACCUUCGGGCCUCGCGCUAUAGGGUUGGCCGAUGGCUGAUUAGCUAGUUGGUGGGGUAAAGGCCUACCAAGGCGACGAUCAGUAGAUGGUCUGAGAGGACGACCAGCCACACUGCGACUGAGCCACGGCCCAGACUCCUACGGGAGGCAGCAGUGGGGAAUUUUGGACAAUGGGCGAAAGCCUGAUCCAGCAAUGCCGCGUGUGUGAAGAAGGCCUUCGGGUUGUAAAGCACUUUUGUCCGGAAAGAAAUCCUUGGCUCUAAUACAGUCGGGGGAUGACGGUACCGGAAGAAUAAGCACCGGCUAACUACGUG
rnacentral:rRNA from 1 species